UUUUUUCAAAUGUUCGUUGUUCAAAUAUAGGUUCGUUUUUUUUUUCAAUGUGGUAGUAUUCUGUUCUUACGGUUAUAGUGGCGUUUGGAUAUGAUUUUCUCGUGGACAUCAUCAUUCUGUUCUUGCAGUUAUAGUGGACAUGAAUUUAGGUCCACAUGAUAUUUUGCUUUGGACAAAUUUUGUUAGGAAUUUGUCAUAUUUUCGGCCUGCUAUGUAUUGAUUGAAUCACUAUUCUUGCAGUUAUACUAGGCAAUGGUAGGAAGACGGCAAACAUAGGCCAAAUAUUCUUGUAUUUUGGUGAAGGUUAUGGGUAUUUCAAAUGGAAUGAUACGAAGUCAUCGAAGAGAAAACCUGUGCAAUGUGAAGGACAGUGUAAUGGUGUUUGCAUUGGACGUCCAUCAACCUACAUUGAGUCACACCAACAUCCAGCUAAAGUACCAAUUGAUAACUUGUUGAAAAGUGCUGCCAAAUUAAAGAUUAAAGACGACGUGGGGAUAUCAUUUAACUUAACUAUCCAAAAGGGAAAAGGAAAAGAGGACGACGGGAAGGGAAAGAAUUCGGAGUAGCAUUCGAACAUAUGUAUAUUCAAGUGUAGUAAUAAUGUUUGUGUAGUACUUAUGUUUAUGUUUGUAGAACAUAUGUAAUCGAACAUAUUAACUUCGAGAAAUACAGCUUUUUGGAUGUUUGUUUUACUGAUGAUGGUGGUCUUAUUUGUGUGUAUCCCAUAACUUCGAGAAAUGCAG
rnacentral:lncRNA from 1 species